AUUGAACGCUGGCGGCAUGCUUUACACAUGCAAGUCGAACGGCAGCGCGGGCUUCGGCCUGGCGGCGCGUGGCGAACGGGUGAGUAAUGCAUCGGAACGUGCCCAGUAGUGGGGGAUAGCCCGGCGAAAGCCGGAUUAAUACCGCAUACGACCUGAGGGUGAAAGCGGGGGACCGAAAGGCCUAGCGCUAUUGGAGCGGCCGAUGUCGGAUUAGCUAGUUGGUGGGGUAAAGGCUUACCAAGGCGACGAUCCGUAGCUGGUCUGAGAGGACGACCAGCCACACUGGGACUGAGACACGGCCCAGACUCCUACGGGAGGCAGCAGUGGGGAAUUUUGGACAAUGGGGGCAACCCUGAUCCAGCCAUGCCGCGUGCGGGAAGAAGGCCUUCGGGUUGUAAACCGCUUUUGUUAGGGAAGAAAACCUCUGGGCUAAUACCCCGGGGGGAUGACGGUACCGGAAGAAUAAGCACCGGCUAACUACGUG
rnacentral:rRNA from 1 species